rnacentral:rRNA from 1 species
AGGACGAACGCUGGCGGCGUGCCUAACACAUGCAAGUCGAACGGGCUGUUAGUGAAAGCUUGCUGGAUCUAACAGUUAGUGGCGGACGGGUGAGUAACACGUGAGAACCUAUCCUUACCCGGGGGACAACAGGUGGAAACGCCUGCUAAUACCCCAUAGGCGCAGAGAUGCGUGAAAGGAGCGAUCCGGGGAGGGAGGGGCUCGCGGCCUAUCAGCUAGUAGGUGGGGUAAGGGCCCACCUAGGCGAUGACGGGUAGCCGGCCUGAGAGGGCGCACGGCCACACUGGAACUGAGACACGGUCCAGACUCCUACGGGAGGCAGCAGUGGGGAAUCUUGGGCAAUGGGGGAAACCCUGACCCAGCGACGCCGCGUGAGGGACGAAAUCCUUUGGGAUGUAAACCUCUGUUGUGCGGGACGAAGGACGUGACGGUACCGCACGAGGAAGCCCCGGCAAACUACGUG